rnacentral:lncRNA from 1 species
CAAAGGGAAGACCAAUGGAGGGAGAAUCCCUCACCUGGAAGGCAGACUCCACUGCACCUGUCAAUAGAAUGAUGGAAGGAUCAGGAGCUCCACGCAUAAUCUCUUAAUUACGUGUGACCUAUUUUAAACCAUCAGAACUCAAAACACAGUUCAUUCAGGUUGAAGAAUGGACUAUACUGUCAGCAUCAGGAGUUAGGACCUGGACAAUCUGGAUCCUGAGAAUGACUUGAAAAAUAAUUUGUUUAAAUCAGAGAUAAUAAGAUAUGCCUUAGAAAUAUGCACCAUACUUUGAUACAUCAAACUGCUGGAACAAGAGGAAGAAGUUGUCAAGAUCAGGAUGAUGGUAGAAAAAUUGAAAUUAAGACAGGAGCUGUUGGCAUCUGAAAUCUUUUACAUGAAAAUGGAAAACUCAGAUAACAAUUGAUGCAUUGGGGGAAGGACCCAAGAAAAAGGUCGGAUUCAAGAUUACUUAUUUACUUAUGUACUAAUUCUAUUUAAUGUGUUUUAAAAAUAUAAUAAAACCUCUCUAAAC